CAGUCGCCGCGGGAAUACAGAGGGUGCGAGCGUUAAUCGGAUUUACUGGGCGUAAAGCGUGCGUAGGCGGCUUCUUAAGUCGGAUGUGAAAUCCCUGAGCUUAACUUAGGAAUUGCAUUCGAUACUGGGAAGCUAGAGUAUGGGAGAGGAUGGUAAAAUUCCAGGUGUAGCGGUGAAAUGCGUAGAGAUCUGGAGGAAUACCGAUGGCGAAGGCAGCCAUCUGGCCUAAUACUGACGCUGAGGUACGAAAGCAUGGGGAGCAAACAGGAUUAGAUACCCGAGUAGUCCCUGUCUCUUAUAC
rnacentral:rRNA from 1 species